GGAGGGUGCAAGCGUUGUUCGGAAUUACUGGGCGUAAAGCGCGUGUAGGCGGCUUUUUAUGUCGGGUGUGAAAGCCCUGGGCCCAACCCAGGAAGUGCGCCCGAAACUGAAAAGCUUGAGUACGAGAGAGGAGGACGGAAUUCCUAGUGUAGAGGUGAAAUUCGUAGAUAUUAGGAAGAACACCGGUGGCGAAAGCGGUUCUCUGGAUCGAUACUGACGCUAAGACGCGAAAGCGUGGGGAGCAAACAGGAUUAGAUACCCUGGGUAGUCCACGCCGUAAACGAUGGAUACUAGUUGUUGCGGGCUUUUUAAACUCGCAGUGACGACGCUAACGCAUUAAGUAUCCCGCCUGGGGAGUACGGCCGCAAGGUUA
rnacentral:rRNA from 1 species